GUCAACGUAGCUAAACUAUAGCGCAACACUGAAGAUGCUGAGGUGAAACAUUAAAAAUUUCCGUCGACA
rnacentral:tRNA from 1 species